rnacentral:rRNA from 1 species
AGCGAACGCUGGCGGCAGGCCUAACACAUGCAAGUCGAACGAACCUUUCGGGGUUAGUGGCGGACGGGUGAGUAACACGUGGGAACGUGCCUUUAGGUUCGGAAUAACUCAGGGAAACUUGUGCUAAUACCGAAUGUGCCCUUCGGGGGAAAGAUUUAUCGCCUUUAGAGCGGCCCGCGUCUGAUUAGCUAGUUGGUUGAGGUAAUGGCUCACCAAGGCGACGAUCAGUAGCUGGUCUGAGAGGAUGCUCAGCCACAUUGGGACUGAGACACGGCCCAAACUCCUACGGGAGGCAGCAGUGGGGAAUCUUGCGCAAGGGGCGAAAGCCUGACGCAGCCAUGCCGCGUGAAUGAUGAAGGUCUUAGGAUUGUAAAAUUCUUUCACCGGGGACGAUAAUGACGGUACCCGGAGAAGAAGCCCCGGCUAACUUCGUG